GCCGGGAUCGGAGCCCUGGGAAACCGCCAGCUGCGUUCGCAGUGACGGCUCGGUUUCCUGAGGAGCUGCGGGACGGAAAGGUUAGGGAAGGCUCCCCGUGGUAGCGCUCCUUUUCAGGGGCCGAGGGAGAAAGGCGUGCGGCGGGGAAUGGCGUCUUCGCGGAGUUUGAGGGCGAGGCGGGCGCGGGUUGUACCAAUGCCCAAGGACAAGUGGCUACAUGUGAUCCUCCGACAUGCCUUCUAAUGAGCCCUGGACCCCUGCAAAGUCUGGCUGUGGGGAUCCUGGGCUGCGGCAGGAGUUCGCACCAUGUCCCGGAGGCCACAUCUGUCACCCUGCAGCCCCCGCUGCUGCGUCUCCAGGCCCGCUGUCUCGGCCACGUUCAUGCCAGGAGGGAUGAUGUGGGUCCUGUCUGCGCAGGGGACCUGGGGAAACAUCGCAGACUCACCACUAACAGAAACAAAAAUUCCCUAUCUCAUUUACUCUUCACUCAGACCCCUUGUAAGGACCUCUCCACCCCCAUUUUGUACAUGAGGACAUUGAGAUUUAGAGAGAUUACGUAGCUUUAAAGUGAUUACAACCAUUAAAAGAUGUCUCAGGACGCAAUCACGGUGCCUCCUGUCCUGGUGACGGUGGAAAUGGCAAAAGCGCCCCCUUUAAAAAGACAUGAGUUUCCUACAUUUUCUAGUUGCUCCUGAGUAGCAAGGAGGUAGAAACCUCGAGGAGGUGCAAGGUAGUGGAUGGAGGCAGAGUGGCCCCGGGUGAGCCAGGUGGAUGGGAGUUGCCAUCAGUCCUCACAGCAUCCCUGGGAGGCAUCGGCAUCUUCCCCAUUCGCUCACAAGGGGCUGAGGCUUCUGCUCUGCAUGGGCCUUAGGCAGCAUCGGCAGGAAAUGGAGUUGCUGGAAGGGGAGACCUGACCACUAUCAUCAGCUGCCCCUGAACUCUCCCUCUCCUGGGAUAUGCCCCAAGCUGCACUGUGUACCUAUUAUUUACUUAAUGCUCAUGGCAGCCUGCCUACGUGGUGUGUCACUGUGCAUUUACAGUCACCUAGUGUCAGAGCUUUGAGACUGCCACAUGAAAUGCAGUCUCUUUACUUUUCCAUCCUUGCAUCGUUUCCAAGGUUUGGUCAUUUUGAGAACAGUCAGGCAGGGGACACAUUGUCCAUUUUCACAGUAUUUCAGUUCUGGGUCUGAAAGACCUAGAUUAGAGGAGGAAAAAAAGUCAUAUAAAAUGCAGAGAAGAUUAAAGUUCUCUGUUUUUGUAAAAAAGAAAAAAUGGAGAGAAGCUUAUUUCUCAUUUGAUUCAACUAGCCUAGGUAACAAGCAACACCUCAGGUCACUUCUUAACAUCACUCCACAUGACUGCAGACAGCCUCCCCGACGUUACCAUUUGAGGCUGACACUGAGGUUAUUCUAAAUAAUACUUUAGUUUCUUCACCCCAGCAUGGUAGAAUUAUGUGUCUGUACCUUUUAUGACUUCAUGUUCUUGAAAUUAGGUGUGAAUCAGGUAUAAGCUUGCCUGGAGCUGCUGCAUUUACUUGAUAUUAUAAAGUGAAAGUCACGUGUGUAAUACACAUGUCUGAGUUGUGCUGUUCUGUAAAAGUUUGCAAAUACGUCCUUUUGAACCAAAGGGAAAGAAAAUGUAGGAUCUUCCUUUUGUGGGGCAAGGUAAUGCUCAGAAGAAUGUUGGGGGCCGGGUUCUGAACUCUGCCUCUGCUCCUCACAGUGGCAUUCUGAGGCCCUGCUCUUGGGGAGGGUGAAGUGGUGAGCGUGGGCCUGAGAGACUCCCCGCUGAUUGGCAGGGUUCUGGGUUCUGUGGGAGGUGGGGGUGUUACUGCCUAACAAUUCAUUAAUCUGUCCAUCUGUUUUAGGCAGUUUUCUGGGUUUGUGUUAUAUUUAACAGUUUUAAAAAGUUGGUUUGCUUUAAAGAGGUGCCUCCUGUCCAGGUGAGGGUGAGUUCAUAUUGAAAUUUUCUAUUCAAAUUUAACAGUACUGAAGUUUUACUUUAACUUAAA